AAGACUAUACUUUCAGGGAUCAUUUCUAUAGUUAUUGACUUGAGAAAUGUGUUUCUAAAAAGUUUGGUCUCGCUAACCAUGAUGAUGAGUAAUGAUGUUCUCUUCUGAGCAUGAAGUGGACAAUGAGUGAUGAUUUAUAUCAUAUACUCAUUGUCAUUGAUGACUGUUCUUUGCUUCUCUAUGAAGCUCAGAGGAAGAGAAUAUGAUCAGAGUGGU